rnacentral:rRNA from 1 species
GUACACGCUGUGACUAGCAUAUCAAUAAGCGGAGGAAAAGAAACUAACAAGGAUUCCCUUAGUAACGGCGAGUGAAGCGGGAAGAGCUCAAAUUUGAAAUCUUCAAGGUUUUACCUUGACGAAUUGUAGUUUAAAGAAGUGUUUUCUGCUGAAGUUUUGGUAAAAGUUCUUUGGAAUAGGACAUCAUAGAGGGUGAGAAUCCCGUAUUUGACCAUUAUUUUCAGCUUUGUGAUACACUUUCAAAGAGUCGGAUUGUUUGGGAAUGCAGUCCAAAAUGGGUGGUGAAUUUCAUCUAAAGCUAAAUAUUGGCGAGAGACCGAUAGCGAACAAGUACCGUGAGGGAAAGAUGAAAAGAACUUUGAAAAGAGAGUUAAACAGUACGCGAAAUUGUCAAAAGGGAAGCGUUUGACACCAGUGUUGUUUGCUCGAGAAAUCAAUUAGAAAUGGCUCGAUUGUUGUAUGGGCUGAGACCUUAUCAGCUCUACUGUACAUUUUCGUGUCUUUUUACGCAAUGCACUUUCCGUUUAACAAGUCAACAUCAAUUUCUUUUGUUGUAAAAGGGUCAUUGGAAGGUGGCUUUCUUUUCGGAGAAAGUGUUUAUAGCCUUUGGCCUCUGCAAUCGGAGAGACUGAGGUCUGCAGCGUAGACUCUUCGGGGUUAGAUACAUUUGUGCUAAGUUAUAGCUUUUUAUAGACAACUUGUUGACUAUAAUUAGUCUUGUAGCUUACUCGCUUAUGCUAUUUUACCUACGCUUAGGAUGUUGAUCUACAGAGCGAGAGU